AAAUUAAGGGCAGGUUACCCACGUGUUACUCACCCGUCCGCCACUCGUUCAAAAUUAAAUCAAGAUGCAAGCACCUUUCAAUAAUCAGAACUCGUUCGACUUGCAUGUAUUAGGCACGCCGCCAGCGUUCAUCCUGAGCCAUGAUCAAACUCUGAGGCACAUGCCCAU
rnacentral:rRNA from 1 species